GACGAACGCUGGCGGCGUGCUUAACACAUGCAAGUCGAACGGUGAAGCCCUUCGGGGUGGAUCAGUGGCGAACGGGUGAGUAACACGUGAGCAACCUGCCCCUGGCUCUGGGACAACCACUGGAAACGGUGGCUAAUACCGGAUACGACCCGCCUCGGCAUCGAGUGUGGGUGGAAAGUUUUUCGGCUGGGGAUGGGCUCGCGGCCUAUCAGCUUGUUGGUGAGGUGAAGGCUCACCAAGGCGACGACGGGUAGCCGGCCUGAGAGGGCGACCGGCCACACUGGGACUGAGACACGGCCAGACUCCUACGGGAGGCAGCAGUGGGGAAUAUUGCACAAUGGGCGAAAGCCUGAUGCAGCGACGCCGCGUGAGGGAUGACGGCCUUCGGGUUGUAAACCUCUUUCAGCUCCGAAGAAGCGAAAGUGACGGUAGGAGCAGAAGAAGCACCGGCUAACUACGUG
rnacentral:rRNA from 1 species